GAGGACUUCGUGUGGAUACCCAUAGAGGCUGGACGCGGUGCAACUACCAAGCAUCAUGAAGAUCAUGGAUUUCAGAUGUGGUGAUCUACUACCCAUGCUCAGAUAUGAAGUUUUACAUUCAAUUAAUAUUUAGGUAUGAUCUAAAUAUAAAUUAGAUAUGUUCUGUACUUACUAAAUUUUAGAUUUCAGAUGUGUAUAU
rnacentral:lncRNA from 1 species